rnacentral:rRNA from 1 species
UACGUAGGCAGCGAGCGUUGUUCGGAGUUACUGGGCGUAAAGAGUGCGUAGGCGGUUCUCUAAGUUUGGUGUGAAAUCUCCCGGCUCAACUGGGAGGGUGCGCCGAAAACUGGGGGGCUUGAGUAUGGGAGAGGAAAGCGGAAUUCCUGGUGUAGCGGUGAAAUGCGUAGAUAUCAGGAGGAACACCUGCGGUGUAGACGGCUUUCUGGACCAUUACUGACGCUGAGGCACGAAAGCGUGGGGAGCAAACAGG